AACAGGAUUAGAUACCCUGGUAGUCCACGCCGUAAACGAUGUCGACUUGGAGGCUGUUCCCUUGAGGAGUGGCUUCCGGAGCUAACGCGUUAAGUCGACCGCCUGGGGAGUACGGCCGCAAGGUUAAAACUCAAAUGAAUUGACGGGGGCCCGCACAAGCGGUGGAGCAUGUGGUUUAAUUCGAUGCAACGCGAAGAACCUUACCUACUCUUGACAUCCAGAGAAUUUAGCAGAGAUGCUUUAGUGCCUUCGGGAACUCUGAGACAGGUGCUGCAUGGCUGUCGUCAGCUCGUGUUGUGAAAUGUUGGGUUAAGUCCCGCAACGAGCGCAACCCUUAUCCUUUGUUGCCAGCGCGUAAUGGCGGGAACUCAAAGGAGACUGCCGGUGAUAAACCGGAGGAAGGUGGGGAUGACGUCAAGUCAUCAUGGCCCUUACGAGUAGGGCUACACACGUGCUACAAUGGCGCAUACAAAGAGAAGCGACCUCGCGAGAGCAAGCGGACCUCAUAAAGUGCGUCGUAGUCCGGAUUGGAGUCUGCAACUCGACUCCAUGAAGUCGGAAUCGCUAGUAAUCGUAAAUCAGAAUGUUACGGUGAAUACGUUCCCGGGCCUUGUACACACCGCCCGUCACACCAUGGGAGUGGGUUGCAAAAGAAGUAGAUAGCUUACCCUUCGGGAGGGCGUUUACCACUUUGUGAUUCAUGACUGGGGUGAAGUCGUAACAAGGUAACCGUAGGGGACCUGCGGCUGGAUCACCUCCUU
rnacentral:rRNA from 1 species